GAUGAACGCUAGCGGCAGGCCUAACACAUGCAAGUCGAGGGGUAGAAGGAGCUUGCUCCUUUGAGACCGGCGCACGGGUGCGUAACGCGUAUGCAAUCUACCUUGUACAGGGGAAUAGCCCAGAGAAAUUUGGAUUAAUGCCCCAUAGUAUAUAACCUUCGCAUGUUGGUUAUAUUAAAGUUCCAACGGUACAAGAUGAGCAUGCGUCCCAUUAGUUAGUUGGUAAGGUAACGGCUUACCAAGACGAUGAUGGGUAGGGGUCCUGAGAGGGAGAUCCCCCACACUGGUACUGAGACACGGACCAGACUCCUACGGGAGGCAGCAGUGAGGAAUAUUGGUCAAUGGGCGGAAGCCUGAACCAGCCAUGCCGCGUGCAGGAUGACGGCCCUACGGGUUGUAAACUGCUUUUUCCCCGGGGCGAAUAACCCCCUCGCGAGGGGGAUGCCGGUACCGGGGAAUAAGGAUCGGCUAACUCCGUGCCAGCAGCCGCGGUAAACUCUACUCGUACUCGAGCGGCGUCG
rnacentral:rRNA from 1 species